rnacentral:rRNA from 1 species
GACGAACGCUGGCGGCGUGCUUAACACAUGCAAGUCGAGCGAAAAGACGCUGCGUUUGUGGGGUGCUCGAGUGGCGAACGGGUGUGAGUAACGUGAGUAACAUCCCCCUGACUUAGGGAUAUAAUCAGGAAAAUGGGGCUCAUACCGGAUAGGAGAUACUGAUGCAUGGUGGGGGUUGGUGAGUUUCGGCGGUUGGGGAUGGACUCGCGGCUUAUCAGCUUGUUGGUGGGGUAGUGGCUUACCAAGGCUUUGACGGGUAGCCGGCCUGAGAGGGUGACCGGCCACAUUGGGACUGAGAUACGGCCCAGAAGGCUACGGGAGGCAGCAGUGGGGAACAUUGCACAAUGGGCGGAAGCCUGAUGCAGCAACGCCGCGUGCGGGAUGACGGCCUUCGGGUUGUAAACCGCUUUCGCCUGUGACGAAGCGUGAGUGACGGUAAUGGGUAAAGAAGCACCGGCUAACUACGUG